GUCAGAGGGAAGCUCUUCAGUGAGGCCACAUGCUAGGUGCUUGUCACCAUCCCCUCAAGCCUCUGGGAAGGUCUGAGAGAAGAGCCAGUGGUUGCCCUUGCAGGGUAUUACCUGAUCCAGGUGGAUGAGCUACCAGACAGGUGUGAGCCUUGAGUUGGGGAAACCCUGGGUUGGCACAAGAUGCAGGAGGAGACUGCUUCUCCUGUGGAUGCUUAUCCCCUGCCCAGGACUUGAAACAGGCUCAUGGUUAGCAGUGCUGAGUGCAAUGGGAUGAGGUGAGGUCUUGCCUGUGCAGGCCUCACAACCCAAUUCAGACUACUCUCCCUCUGAC
rnacentral:RNase_P_RNA from 1 species